rnacentral:misc_RNA from 1 species
GCUUAAGAUCCGCGUAUUUUCAUGAAACGUGAAACGUCAAUUUGCCGUUUGCCGUUUGUCGUUUGCCGUUGUCCAUUUGAGCGUAAGUUUCACGCAUACGUAGAAUUAGCCGAUAGCUAGUUACCAGUCUUUCCUGCGCUGUUUGUUGCCAUUAAAACCAAAACAAAGAUGGCUGCCAAGCGAAGGUAAGUGUAUAUUUUCUACUUUACAACCAUCAUUCAAACAAUUCAGUUCAAAAUUUUUUUGAAGGGAAAAUUAUUUAAUGUAUUUUUUGUAUGUUUCACAAAAUUUCUAGGCAAUAUAUGCAGGAAAUGCUUCUAAUGUUGACUGAAGAUCAAAGUAGUGACAGCUCCGAGUGCGACAGUAGCGAUGAUGACGAUGAUGUAGAACUGCUUUUACUUGAAACUAUGUUUGUAGAGCGAAAUAUUGGCGCUAGAAUCAAUCCAGCUGAUAUAAGUGAUGAAGACUUUGAGAACUUUUUCAGAUUUCAAAAAAAAGAUUUUGACAGAUUGGCAACAGCUCUUGAAUUGCCAGAGGAAUAUAUAUGUGAACAAGGGACAGUUUCACCUGCUUCAGAGGCAUUGAUGAUUUUGUUAAGAAGACUUGCAUACCCAAACAGAUGGUGCGACUUAGUUCACCUUUUUGGGAGACAGGAACCAGUACUAAGUAUGAUUUUUCACCAGAUACUUUCAGACAUUUACAACAGAUAUUCUCAUCUUCUUGAUGAUUUGGACCUUGUUUGGCUAGAUCCAGAUAAUUUUUCAAAAGCCAUUCACAAUAAAGGGGCACCUCUAAAACAAUGCUGGGGGUUCAUAGAUGGCACAGCCAAGUCGAUAUGCAGACCCAUUCGAAACCAAAGAAUAAUGUAUUCUGGUCACAAGCGAACACAUUGUAUAAAAUUUCAGUCAGUAAUUGCUCNCAAUGGAAUUAUUUNCCAUNUAUUUGGUCCUAUGGAAGGUCGGAGACAUGAUGCCUUUAUGUUGACUUCUAGUGGUCUAUUACCCAAACUGGAACAGCGAAUGAAUAAGCCAAACGGUGACCCUUUUGUCCUAUAUGGAGAUCCUGCUUAUCCUGUCAGACGUCACAUUAUUGCACCUUUUCGUGGUGCACAGUUAAGUUUAGCAGAGCAAUCUUUUAACAAGGACAUGUCAGCUGUAAGAACAAGUGUUGAAUGGGGAUAUGGGAACAUCAUUAAGUAUUUUGCCUUUUUAGAUUUCUCCAAAAAUUUAAAGGUUCUUUUACAACCGGUUGGAAAACUGUAUUCAACAUCAGCAAUUCUUUCAAACUGUCAUAUUUGUUUAUAUGGUUCCCAGACAGGACAGUUUUUNGGGUUGAACCCUCCAGAAUUGGAGACAUAUUUGCAUAAUCAGUAAGAGAUCAAAACCAGCAGCCCCCUCGGCUCCUCCCAAUAAAAUGUGAAUGGUCCCUUUGUAAGCUAGGUAUGAGUGCUGAAGGGCUAUCUUUAGGGUAGGGUACAAAUCCUACAGGCUAUUUAUCAAGACUUUUUUUCACCAAGAUCAAUACACAACUUAUUAUUACAUGUUAUUUGAGGAUAGAGCUGGAAAAAAAAAUUAAAAGAUGACCUGGGAAAUGUUUUUUAUUUGUAUAAAGCCCAAAGCAAUAGCAAAUUAUUAAACUGACUCAGUUAUAUUAUAUAUAAAUUUGCAAAAUGUUGUAAAUAAUUUAUUCUUUUACAGACGCAAUGAUAUAAAAAAACA